rnacentral:rRNA from 1 species
UAAGUUGCAGGGUAUAGACCCGAAACCCGGUGAUCUAGCCAUGGGCAGGUUGAAGGUUGGGUAACACUAACUGGAGGACCGAACCGACUAAUGUUGAAAAAUUAGCGGAUGACUUGUGGCUGGGGGUGAAAGGCCAAUCAAACCGGGAGAUAGCUGGUUCUCCCCGAAAGCUAUUUAGGUAGCGCCUCGUGAAUUCAUCUCCGGGGGUAGAGCACUGUUUCGGCAAGGGGGUCAUCCCGACUUACCAACCCGAUGCAAACUGCGAAUACCGGAGAAUGUUAUCACGGGAGACACACGGCGGGUGCUAACGUCCGUCGUGAAGAGGGAAACAACCCAGACCGCCAGCUAAGGUCCCAAAGUCAUGGUUAAGUGGGAAACGAUGUGGGAAGGCCCAGACAGCCAGGAUGUUGGCUUAGAAGCAGCCAUCAUUUAAAGAAAGCGUAAUAGCUCACUGGUCGAGUCGGCCUGCGCGGAAGAUGUAACGGGGCUAAACCAUGCACCGAAGCUGCGGCAGCGACACUAUGUGUUGUUGGGUAGGGGAGCGUUCUGUAAGCCUGUGAAGGUGGCCUGUGAGGGUUGCUGGAGGUAUCAGAAGUGCGAAUGCUGACAUAAGUAACGAUAAAGCGGGUGAAAAGCCCGCUCGCCGGAAGACCAAGGGUUCCUGUCCAACGUUAAUCGGGGCAGGGUGAGUCGACCCCUAAGGCGAGGCCGAAAGGCGUAGUCGAUGGGAAACAGGUUAAUAUUCCUGUACUUGGUGUUACUGCGAAGGGGGGACGGAGAAGGCUAUGUUGGCCGGGCGACGGUUGUCCCGGUUUAAGCGUGUAGGCUGGUUUUCCAGGCAAAUCCGGAAAACCAAGGCUGAGGCGUGAUGACGAGGCACUACGGUGCUGAAGCGACAAAUGCCCUGCUUCCAGGAAAAGCCUCUAAGCAUCAGGUAACAUCAAAUCGUACCCCAAACCGACACAGGUGGUCAGGUAGAGAAUACCAAGGCGCUUGAGAGAACUCGGGUGAAGGAACUAGGCAAAAUGGUGCCGUAACUUCGGGAGAAGGCACGCUGAUAUGUAGGUGAAGCGACUUGCUCGUGGAGCUGAAAUCAGUCGAAGAUACCAGCUGGCUGCAACUGUUUAUUAAAAACACAGCACUGUGCAAACACGAAAGUGGACGUAUACGGUGUGACGCCUGCCCGGUGCCGGAAGGUUAAUUGAUGGGGUUAGCGGCNNNNNNNNNNNNNNNNNNNNNNNNNNNNNNNNNNNNNNNNNNNNNNNNNNNNNNNNNNNNNNNNNNNNNNNNNNNNNNNNNNNNNNNNNNNNNNNNNNUAACGCGAAGCUCUUGAUCGAAGCCCCGGUAAACGGCGGCCGUAACUAUAACGGUCCUAAGGUAGCGAAAUUCCUUGUCGGGUAAGUUCCGACCUGCACGAAUGGCGUAAUGAUGGCCAGGCUGUCUCCACCCGAGACUCAGUGAAAUUGAACUCGCUGUGAAGAUGCAGUGUACCCGCGGCAAGACGGAAAGACCCCGUGAACCUUUACUAUAGCUUGACACUGAACAUUGAGCCUUGAUGUGUAGGAUAGGUGGGAGGCUUUGAAGUGUGGACGCCAGUCUGCAUGGAGCCGACCUUGAAAUACCACCCUUUAAUGUUUGAUGUUCUAACGUUGGCCCGUAAUCCGGGUUGCGGACAGUGUCUGGUGGGUAGUUUGACUGGGGCGGUCUCCUCCUAAAGAGUAACGGAGGAGCACGAAGGUUGGCUAAUCCUGGUCGGACAUCAGGAGGUUAGUGCAAUGGCAUAAGCCAGCUUGACUGCGAGCGUGACGGCGCGAGCAGGUGCGAAAGCAGGUCAUAGUGAUCCGGUGGUUCUGAAUGGAAGGGCCAUCGCUCAACGGAUAAAAGGUACUCCGGGGAUAACAGGCUGAUACCGCCCAAGAGUUCAUAUCGACGGCGGUGUUUGGCACCUCGAUGUCGGCUCAUCACAUCCUGGGGCUGAAGUAGGUCCCAAGGGUAUGGCUGUUCGCCAUUUAAAGUGGUACGCGAGCUGGGUUUAGAACGUCGUGAGACAGUUCGGUCCCUAUCUGCCGUGGGCGCUGGAGAACUGAGGGGGGCUGCUCCUAGUACGAGAGGACCGGAGUGGACGCAUCACUGGUGUUCGGGUUGUCAUGCCAAUGGCACUGCCCGGUAGCUAAAUGCGGAAGAGAUAAGUGCUGAAAGCAUCUAAGCACGAAACUUGCCCCGAGAUGAGUUCUCCCUGAGACUUAGAGUCUCCUGAAGGAACGUUGAAGACGACGACGUUGAUAGGCCGGGUGUGUAAGCGCAGCGAUGCGUUGAGCUAACCGGUACUAAUGAACCGUGAGGCUUAACCUU